AUUGAACGCUGGCGGCAGGCCUAACACAUGCAAGUCGAACGAGUGGCGGACGGGUGAGUAAUGUCUGGGAAACUGCCUGAUGGAGGGGGAUAACUACUGGAAACGGUAGCUAAUACCGCAUACCAUCAGAUGUGCCCAGAUGGGAGUGGCUAGUAGGUGGGGUAACGGCUCACCUAGGCGACGAUCCCUAGCUGGUCUGAGAGGAUGACCAGCCAAACUGGAACUGAGACACGGGCCAGACUCCGACGGGAGGCAGCAGUGGGGAAUAUUGCACAAUGGGCGCAAGCCUGAUGCAGCCAUGCCGCGUGUAUGAAGAAGGCCGGCGGGUUGGAAAGUACUUUCAGCGGGGAGGCGUUACCCGCAGAAGAAGCACCGGCUAACUCCGUGCCAGCAGCCGCGGUAAUUC
rnacentral:rRNA from 1 species